rnacentral:snoRNA from 1 species
AUCCAAGGUGAUUGAUUCCCUCUCCAAGGGACCAACUAAUGCCUUCAGGAAAGUAGCAACUUUGAAGAAAAUCUGGCAUGCCUAAGGUUUUCGGGGGACAGGGGAUACCCAUUUCCUUUGGCUGCCUGCAUGU